GGAUAACUGUGGUAAUUCUAGAGCUAAUACAUGAUUCCGUGCUCCGACCCCCCGGCUCGCGGAUCGUUUCUUCGUCUUUCGAGACGUAGGACGCGCCCGCGCUGUCGGGAGAAGGGCGCUUUUAUUAGAUCUGAAAAUAAACCGGCCGGACUUCGGUCUGUCAAACCCUAAAAAAAACCGGUUGAUGAAUCCAAAUAACUUAGCCGAGCGCUACGGUCUUCGUACCGGCGCCGUGUCCUUCGAGCGUCUGCCUUAUCAGCUUUCGAUUGUAGGUUACACGCCUACAAUGGCUGUAACGGGUAACGGGGAAUCAGGGUUCGAUUCCGGAGAGGGAGCCUGAGAAACGGCUACCACAUCUAAGGAAGGCAGCAGGCACGCAAAUUACCCACUCCCGGCUCGGGGAGGUAGUGACGAAAAAUAACGAUGUGGGACUCUUCCGAGGCCCCAUAAUCGGAAUGAGUUCACCCUAAAUCCUUGGACGAGGAUCCAUUGGAGGGCAAGUCUGGUGCCAGCAGCCGCGGUAAUUCCAGCUCCAAUAGCGUAUAUAAAAGUUGCUGCGGUUAAAAAGCUCGUAGUUGGAUCUUGGAUCCGGACCGGCGGCCCACCUAAGGCGCGUCCUUUCCACUAGUGGGCAGUGUGUAGACGAGGCUAUUCGCCUUCUUCGCCUUUCGGGCGUCGGCUCUCGACGUCGUUUCGUCUCUCGCGAGCGAUCUCUCCGGCGACGUUAGCUUCGGAGUGCGUAGAGACGGGGGUCCGAGACGGUCUCGCUCGAGUUCGUUCGCACGCAGGGUGUAACGCGGGACGGCCGGGGAGAGUUCUCGAGUUCUCGGCGGGAAGCGAGCGAUAGUGAGAGUGUUUGUGUGUGUGAAUCGUCGUCGCGUUGCGGUCGGUGGGAGAGUUCCGCUUUUCCCCUUCUCUUCGCGCGUUCAUAUGCAUCUCUCUCUCUCUCUGUCAUCACUCCUUCUCGUCUCCUCGGGUUCGUCUCUCCGCGUUAUCCCUCUUCGUUAGCCCUCGGCGGGCGGGCGGGCGAGAGACCGUUUUCGCCCCGAUUUUAUCGCGCCAAAGUGUCGUCGCGAGAGUAUCCUCGUGAUGUUCGGCGAGCGGCUUUGUCGAGGCGUUGACGUUUAACCGAAAAGGUACGAAGUCGGUCGAUUUAGCUUUCGCGCUCUCACUGCUCCGGAGAGUAAGCGCGUCCGGUCGGAUAACCGCCCGGCACCGGAUUGCGAAAGCCGUCGGCUCUCAUGGGGUGCUCUUCACCGAGUGUCUCGCGUCGCCGACACGUUCACUUUGAAAAAAUUAGAGUGCUCAGAGCAGGCUGAAUCUUAACGCCCGAAUGGCGGUGCAUGGAAUGAUGGAACAGGACCUCGAUUCCGACAUCUUUUUAAGUCGGUUUUUCGGAGUCGGAGGUAAUGACUGAAGGGAACGGACGGGGGCAUUCGUAUUGCGACGCUAGAGGUGAAAUUCUUGGACCGUCGCACGACGAACGACUGCGAAAGCAUUUGCCAAGAACGUUUUCGUCAAUCAAGAACGAAAGUUAGAGGAUCGAAGGCGAUCAGAUACCGCCCUAGUUCUAACCGUAAACUAUGCUGACCGGUUAUCCGCCGAAGUCAUUCCCACGACUCGGCGGGAAUCCUCCGGGAAACCAGAGUCUUUGGGUUCCGGGGGAAGUAUGGUUGCAAAGCUGAAACUUAAAGGAAUUGACGGAAGGGCACCACCAGGAGUGGAGCCUGCGGCUUAAUUUGACUCAACACGGGAAAACUCACCAGGCCCGGACACCGGAAGGAUUGACAGAUUGAGAGCUCUUUCUCGAUUCGGUGGGUGGUGGUGCAUGGCCGUUCUUAGUUGGUGGAGCGAUCUGUCUGGUUAAUUCCGAUAACGAACGAGACUCUUUCCUAUUAAAUAGUCGACGAAUCGUCUCCCGAGGCCUUUUGGUUACGGCGGCGGGACUGCGUGUCUCUCGAUCUCUUCGGCGUCGUUCUCGUGCUGGCGUUCGCGUGGUCGUCGUUCAUCUUCUCUCGCGGGUUCUUUUUCCCUAUCUUUUACUCCCUCCCCUCGCGACUUCGCGCGUGAGUGAGAGAGGUUUGUCUUCGCGACGGGCCUUUUCUCUCCACGCGCGUCGUUUCGCGAGGUGUGUGCGCGUGUUUAAGACGGGUCUCGGAGCUGCGGCGAGAGAUAGAAGUCUCGACGGCUGCUGCGUCUCUCGAGCGUGCUGAAGAGGGGUUUCGCGCGUCUCUGUCGUCUCUCUUCGUCGUCGUCGUCUGAGGCGCGAGGCUGGGACGUCGUUCGUCGGGUUGCGCGGGGCGGACUUCGUGUUUUCUUUCGGUUUCGUUUCGGCGGGGCGAAGGGAUUCCGCGUCGUCUCGUCGUUCGUUGCAGCUCGACGUCUCGACGUCUCGCCUCUUUGCGUUUCGUUGCCGGCCCGGCGGGAGCCUAGAGGUUAGUCGGGGCGUUCGUCGCAUUUUCUUCUUAGAGGGAUCGGCGGCGGCCAGCCGCACGAGAUUGAGCAAUAACAGGUCUGUGAUGCCCUUAGAUGUUCUGGGCCGCACGCGCGCUACAAUGGAGGAAUCAGCGCGUUCCCUACUCCGAAAGGAGCGGGUAACCCCCUGAAAUUCGUUCUCACUGGGGAUUGGGGCUUGCAAAUGUUUCCCAUGAACGAGGAAUUCCCAGUAAGCGCGGGUCACCACCCCGCGCUGAUUACGUCCCUGCCCUUUGUACACACCGCCCGUCGCUACUACCGAUUGAAUGAUUCAGUGAGGGCAUCGGACUGGCGCCCUCGGUAAAUGCCGAAGGUUCGCGGUUUGUUUAACUUCGCCGCGUUUUCUCCGUUUUACGACGUGGUUCCGCGCGAAUUAGACUCCGACCUUCGACACCCCGGGCUGACGGAAAGAUGUCCGAACUUGGUCAUUUAGA
rnacentral:rRNA from 1 species